GACGAACGCUGGCGGCGUGCUUAACACAUGCAAGUCGAACGGAAAGGCCCUGCUUUUGUGGGGUGCUCGAGUGGCGAACGGGUGAGUAACACGUGAGUAACCUGCCCUUGACUUUGGGAUAACUUCAGGAAACUGGGGCUAAUACCGGAUAGGAGCUCCUGCUGCAUGGUGGGGGUUGGAAAGUUUCGGCGGUUGGGGAUGGACUCGCGGCUUCUCCGCUGGUUUGUGGGGUAGUGGAGUACCAAGGCUUUGACGGGUAGCCGGCCUGAGAGGGUGACCGGCCACAUUGGGCCUGCGAUACGGCCCAGACUCCUACGGGAGGCAGCGGUGGAGAAUAUUGCACAAUAGGCGGAAGCCUGAUGCAGCAACGCCGCGUGCGGGAUGACGGCCUUCGGGUUGUAAACCGCUUUCGCCUGUAACGAAGCGUGAGUGACGGUAAUGGGUAAAGAAGCACCGGCUAACUACGUG
rnacentral:rRNA from 1 species